AGAUUGAACGCUGGCGGCAGGCCUAACACAUGCAAGUCGAGCGGUAGAGAGGUGCUUGCACCUCUUGAGAGCGGCGGACGGGUGAGUAAUGCCUAGGAAUCUGCCUAGUGGUGGGGGAUAACGUUCGGAAACGGACGCUAAUACCGCAUACGUCCUACGGGAGAAAGCGGGGGACCUUCGGGCCUCGCGCCAUUAGAUGAGCCUAGGGUCGAUUAGCUUGUUGGUGAGGUAAGAGCUCACCAAGGCGACGAUCCUUAGCUGGUCUGAGAGGAUGAUCAGCCACACUGGGACUGAGACGACGGCCCAGACUCCGUACGGGAGGCAGCAGGUGGGAAUAUUGGACAAGGUGGGACGGAAAGCCGUGACUCCGAGCAAGUCGCCGCGUGAGUGAUGAAGGUCGUAGGUUAGUAAGUCUUCGUUUACCGGAUAGAUAAUAGAC
rnacentral:rRNA from 1 species